rnacentral:misc_RNA from 1 species
AAAAACUUAGCUGGUGAAGUCACAAAGCUCUCUUUACAAAAUGGAAAACUAGAGAAAGAGUUGUUGGCUGCUCGAGACAUGUUGAACUCUCGAAGUUCCAUUGCACUAACAGGUAAUGUUGGAAACCGAAAGCAUGGUGAAAACCUACGAACAGGGCGUAGAGGUCGGAUCACUGGCAGAGGAAGUGAAAUUCCUGGAGCGAUUCAUGAUGACUUCAACACUUGGGACCUUGAUCCUGAAGAUUUAAAGAUGGAGUUGCAGGCCAGAAAGCAGCGGGAGGCAGCUCUGGAGGCUGUCUUGUCUGAGAAGGAAGUUGUGGAAGAUGAGUACAGGAAAA